rnacentral:tRNA from 1 species
GGAGAAGUACCCAAGAGGCUGAAGGGACCGGUUUCGAAAACCGGCAGACGUGCAAGCGUGCGAGGGUUCGAACCCCUCCUUCUCCGCCA